AUAGCAAAGCAAUUGCCGAAGACAGCAGGUGCCAAAAGGCAUAAACAGUAUGUACCUGCCCAGGGAAUUUACAAACAUGCAGUGUAUGUGCUGCAUAUGUGUAAAGACUAUAAACCUCUCUGUCUUCCAACAGAGAGGUUUUUUU
rnacentral:sRNA from 1 species